GGAGCAGUCCUGUAGCUCAGGGGUUGAGAAUCUGUUUUGCAGGCAAAAGGUCCCAGGUUCAAUCCCUGGUGUCUCCA